UUAAUUGAAACCAAAAAGAGGUAUUUUAUUGUUAAUAAAAAUAUUGAAUAUUUAAUUCCAAUUAAA
rnacentral:tRNA from 1 species